CUCGGCUCGGCUCGGCUCGGCUCGGCUCGGCUCGGCUCGGCUCGGCUCGGCUCGGCUCGCUUGUCCUUGAGGUUUACUGUGUUUGGCAUCGCAGUUCCGACGGCAGCCGCCGUUUCGCGACCCACGGCGGACUUGCAUAAACACUUUCUAGUUGGAAUCUCACCCUGUGAGGUGGGCAAGGUAGUGAUAUUCCUGUUUGACGCCGACAGAAAUAAGAGAGAUUGACUCUCAGAACCAUGUGGCGGGAUUUUAAAGGAGGAUCUUAACAGUGGCUCGGACAGACCCGUGUUUUCUGCUCCUAGCAUUAACUACGUCGUUAAACCCUUCUGAAUUUAUUUCGUCUGUGAAAUGGGGAAAAGAUAGCCACCUUGCAUAACUGGUGAAGAAUUCGUAAACUGACAGCAGAAUCUAGUAAGAGGACUGGCCCGUGGUCGGCUCUUAAUGGUGUCACAGAAUAAAGAAAAAGACUGGGAGAGAGAUGGGAGCUGAUAGACCAGAGGAGACCAAAGACUGAAACUGAAGACUAAACCAUGGAAAUUGGGAACAAGCACUUACUCGCUUAGAGGGUGAAAAAAGUGAAUUUGCCUACAGGGCCAAUUUGGAAGCACCUCUCCCUGGAAGCCAGUCAAUGAAGAGCCAUUGGAGGAUUUUAAAUAAGGAACCGAAAAAUGGAGUCUGAAAAUAGAGGCGCAGAGACCGGACAGCACUGAGUUCAAUGUCUCACAAUUGCUGUACUCUCCUCUCCCCGUGACCAGAGACACUCUCUGAACCGUGCUGCAGCUGCCAGAAGGAUGGGAGUGGGAUGGUGUCAGGAUUCAAGGCUAUGUUUUCUACCUCUUCAGUGCC
rnacentral:lncRNA from 1 species